AUGAACGCUGGCGGCGUGCCUAAUACAUGCAAGUCGAGCGAACGGACGAGAAGCUUGCUUCUCUGAUGUUAGCGGCGGACGGGUGAGUAACACGUGGAUAACCUACCUAUAAGACUGGGAUAACUUCGGGAAACCGGAGCUAAUACCGGAUAAUAUUUUGAACCGCAUGGUUCAAAAGUGAAAGACGGUCUUGCUGUCACUUAUAGAUGGAUCCGCGCUGCAUUAGCUAGUUGGUAAGGUAACGGCUUACCAAGGCAACGAUGCAUAGCCGACCUGAGAGGGUGAUCGCCCCCCCGGGAACUGAGACACGGUCCAGACCCCUAGGGGGGGCAGCAGUAGGGAAUCUUCCGCAAUGGGGGAAAGCCUGACGGAGCAACGCCGGGUGGGGGAUGAAGGUCUUCGGAUCGUAAAACUCUUUUAUUGGGGAAGAACAUAUGUGUAAGUAACUGUGCCCAUCUUGACGGUACCUAAGCAGAAAGCCCCGGCUAACUACGU
rnacentral:rRNA from 1 species